AUUGAACGCUGGCGGCAGGCCUAACACAUGCAAGUCGAGCGAGCGGCGGACGGGUGAGUAAUGUCUGGGAAACUGCCUGAUGGAGGGGGAUAACUACUGGAAACGGUAGCUAAUACCGCAUACCAUCAGAUGUGCCCAGAUGGGAUUAGCUAGUGGGGGGGGUAACGGCCCACCUAGGCGACGAUCCCUAGCUGGUCUGAGAGGAUGACCAGCCACACUGGGACUGAGACACGGCCCAGACUCCUACGGGAGGCAGCAGUGGGGAAGAUUGCACAAUGGGCGCAAGCCUGAUGCAGCCAUGCCGCGUGUGUGAAGAAGGCCUUCGGGUUGUAAAGCACUUUCAGCGGGGAGGCGUUACCCGCAGAAGAAGCACCGGCUAACGCCGUGCCAGCAGCCGCGGUAAUAC
rnacentral:rRNA from 1 species